GCAAAAGCACUUUUAAAAUGAGUUAAGUGGAAGACGAACAGACAAAUGAGGUAACUUCUAUAAAGAUGGAGGUUGCUUCUGGCUCAUCAGCCAUCGUUGAUGGUAACCAGUCCUACAAUUCUCAUUAGGCAGUUCUGUUACCCCACUAUUUCCUUGGGGUCUGUUGUGCUAAGGACAGGAUUGGUUGGGUAAAGGGGUGUGGCACAAAUAACCCUCAGGAAUACAGGCCACAGAGCUAAUGAAGGGCCCCAAGGAAAGAAAGACCUGCCCAUCAGCGAUGAAUUCUCUCCCCCAGUGCCACAGACCUGAGGGCACGUGACCCAGGAAUGUGCAUCCAAAGAUAAUACUACCUUCAGAGAACUCUACUUAUAGGCUGUGGUUUUUCAAGAAAAAGGAAAAGAUUCAUAAUUCAUUGAGCUCUUUCCUUGUGAGAAGAAAGGCCACUCUUUUGUGUGCUGAAGUUGGACAACAGUUCCCAAGGAAGCUGAAUUCUAGCUGUUUAUUGUUAUUGGGUUUUGCACUAUGCCCUUUAUGUUGUCAUUAAUCAAUAAAUACGUGUGGAACAAAUGAUUAACUAGAUAGAAACUGAAGAAUAAAAAGGAAGGACGAUACAGUUGCCUCAGCUAUUCUGUUGUGAGUGCAAAUGUAAAGCUCUUAAAGUACCAACCAAGCAGAAAGGCAGCACAGGCAAACCUAACAUUCCUGCCAUUUAACUAUGUACCUGAGGAGCUUUGAAAGGUGAACAACCCGAAGUACUGAAAUGUUCUCAGCAUGAAUUAAGUAAUUCAUCUCUAAAGUGGUCUGAAGAUAGAGGCAAUAGACUUUCCAGUAAUAACAAAUGAUCGAGAUGGAUUUGGCCUGACACUCCAAGAAAGUACAGGUGUUGCAUUAAUUUGGCAACAAAAUAAUGGUGAAAUUGAAUCACUGAAGCAGCUGAGGCAGAGAGCUUUUCCUUCAGGAUUCACGGCCUAUUUCUCAGUUCUGGGAAGACAACUCUAACAACUCAACAGAGUGAAGAGAGAUAAAGAUGUUGGGAAUGACUGAUUUCAAACAAUCAAAACUGCUUUGGGGAUGAGGAUGAAGUUGGGACAUUACUGCCUUGUAUACCACAUACUAUAAUAUUUAUUAUGUCUAUUGUUUAUUGUGUGUGUCCUUCUUUAGAAUUUUAACUCCCCAAGGGCAAAGAUCCCUGACUGUUUUGCUUAUCAAUGUAUCCAAAAGGCCUAAAACAGAGCCUUGUACCCUAUACACACUCUGCAAAUAUUUGCUGAAUUGAAUAAAAGGCUGCCGAUCUAUAAAC
rnacentral:lncRNA from 10 species